rnacentral:lncRNA from 1 species
CUCGAAAGAGGCGAAGAGGGGCCAGCCCUCCCUCCCUGCUGCUGGUUGGCUCACCCAAGGACAGAGGUUUAGACUCAGAGGGCUGGAAAGGGGGCAGGCAGAGGAGGGUGGUCUGAACAGCCACUGCGGAGGGAACCCUUGUUUUCCUACACCUCAUCACGUUUGCUAAGAAAGCAAGACAUUUUAUGUCUAGAAGCACCUGCAAGUUUUGUUCAUCCCUCUAUCUUUGGCUGUCCCAAGUCAGUCCGAUAUCUCCUAUAUCAGAGGGACAGAGUUAGAGGCACUCCCUUCUUCUGAGGAUAGACAGCUCUGAGUAACAUGCGGAGGCCGAAAAAACACACUUCUGCGCACGUCCUGCAGAUAAACAUGGCCACAGUAUCAAGCUGGAGCCAACGAGAGGUACAUAGGGGCGUUUUACGGGACUUAGGGACGGGCCGCAUCCACGUCCCCUGGGAGUUGGUGAGAAAUGUGGAAGCUCAUGCCCUUCCUAGACCUACUGAAUCGGAAGCGAAUUUUCACAAGCUCCUCACGUGAUCUGGGCACACAGUGCAGGGUGAAUGCCACUGCCUUAGAGGGCAAAGGUGCCCCCUCUCCUCUUCUGAGUAAUGUUACCGAUGGCCUCAAUUCUCUACUUAGACCCUGGGAAGGCGCCCGCCAUAGAGUCAAGCCAUCAGCGGGCAUCGUCGGCCUUUGAAGGUCUGGCCCUCACCUCUCCGGUUUCAGUUCUUGUUCUUCUCCCAUCGCUGCCAGAGUCUCUGUUUCUCACACUGGGCUAGGGUGUCAGGGUCUUCACCUAGAGCCCACCCAACAGCCAGCCCUUUCCUCCAAUGCUGUUGUGGGAGGCGAUGCAUCCGGCUCCAGGUGACGUGCCCAGCUCAUCUCAUUCUCCUUUGCAUGACUCUUCCUCGCCCAGCCUCCCUUGGUAGCUAAGCUGGCCUGCACCCAGAACUCACCAAGGGGACAAUACAGAGCUGUCUUCUGGGGGUGGGGACAUCUUUUCCUCCCUGGAUUAAAAAGAACCGUGUG